rnacentral:misc_RNA from 1 species
AAGGAUCAUUAACACAAUCAUGCGAUUGUUUUUCCAGUCCUACCACGGUUGAAUAUUGUUUUGAUUUUCAUUUUUUUUUUAUAAACCACAAUCACCAAUUGAACAGCUUGAACUGAAUUAUAGAUUGGAGAGAAAUGUUUUCUACGUUUCUUUCCUCUUCUAUUAUACACAAAAUUUUAUUACAACUCUUAGCAAUGGAUAUCUUGGUUCUC